rnacentral:rRNA from 1 species
GAAGAAGGCGGGGGGCGUGCUUAACACAUGCAAGUCGAACGGAAAGGCCCUGCUUUUGUGGGGUGCUCGCGUGGCGAACGGGUGAGUAACACGUGAGUAACCUGCCCUUGACUUUGGGAUAUCUUCAGGAAACUGGGGCUAAUACCGGAUAGGAGCUCCUGCUGCAUGGUGGGGGUUGGACAGCUUCGGCGGUUGGGGAUGGACUCGCGGCUUAUCAGCUUGUUGGUGGGGUAGUGGCCUAUCAAGGCUUUGACGGGUAGCCGGCCUGUGAGGGGGAACGGCGACAUAGGGACUGAGAUACGGCCCAGACUCCGACGGGAGGCAGCGGUGGGGAAUAUUGCACAAUGGUCGGAAGCCUGAUGCAGCAACGCCGCGUGCGGAAUGACGGCCUGCGGUUUGUAAACCGCUUGCGCCUGUGACGAAGCGUGAGUGACGGUAAUGGGUAAAGAAGCACCGGCUAACUACGUG